rnacentral:tRNA from 1 species
GGGCCCAUAGCUCAGCGGUCAGAGCGGCGGACUCAUAAUCCGAAGUGCGCAGGUUCGAAUCCUGCUGGGCCCA